rnacentral:tRNA from 1 species
GGGGCUGUAGCUCAGUUGGUAGGGUGCCUGCCUCUCAUGCACAAGGCCUGGGUUCAAUCCCCAGCACCACCA